rfam:Otolemur garnettii contig125060, whole genome shotgun sequence.
CCUGGGCACAGUGGUUUAGACUUGUAGUCCCAGCUACCAGGGAGGCUGAGGUGGGAAGAUCCCUUGAGCCCAGGAGUUCUGGGUUAUUGAGCACUAUGCUGAUGGGGUGCCUGCACAGUACACUGUCAAUAUAAUGCUAGGAGCAGGGAAUCACCAGGUUGCCUAAAUAGAGGUGAACCAGCCCAGGUGAAAGUGAUAGCUCAAAACUCCUGCGUUGAUCAGUAGUGGGGUCAUGCCUGUGAAUAGCCACUGCACUCUACCCUGGGUAAGAUAGUGGGACCCAAUCUCCU